AUUGAACGCUGGCGGGAGGCUUAACACAUGCAAGUCGAACGAGUGGCGGACUGGUGAGUAAUGCAUGGGAAUGUAGCUUCUGGAGGGGGAUAACUACGGUAAACUGUAGCUAAUACCGCGUACCAUAGGAAGAGCCCAAUUGGGAUUAGGUCGUUUGUGAGGUAAAGGCUCACCAAGCCAACGAUCUCUAGCUGGUCUGAGAGGAUGACCAGCCACACUGGGACUGAGACACGGCCCAGACUCCUACGGGAGGCAGCAGUGGGGAAUAUUGCGCAAUGGGGGCAACCUGACGCAGCCAUGCCGCGUGAAUGAUGAAGGCCUUCGGGUUGUAAAGUACUUUCGGUAGAGAGGCGUUAACUACAGAAGAAGCACCGGCUAACUCCGUGCCAGCCGCCGCGGUAAUUC
rnacentral:rRNA from 1 species